AUCGUUCUGUUUAUCGUUUUGUUUAUCGUUCUGUUUGU
rnacentral:antisense_RNA from 1 species